UUUGAGCUUCUAAUUAUUUCACUGUAUGUAUGUAGACGAUUGGUUUAUUCUAAAUACAAUGUUACCAGUGUUAUAGUAUCGUCAUUUUUAGAAGGUGAAGCGAAAUCUUCUGUGAAAUGAUUUUGUAUCUCUUCGGUUUAUGAUAUAAACAAGGCGGGUGAAAACAAAGAACCAUCAACCGGCAAGUGUUUGGCUUCAGAGAAAGGGAAACUUUCAAGACUGGAUUAUCACUGCUGUGCAUCCCCCCCCCCCCAUGAAUCUGGACCAGUGCUGGCUACUCAAGAACUAUCGGGAAGGGAAGCAACAGCUCUUAUAUCAGCAAGUUCAC